rnacentral:sRNA from 1 species
AUGCUGAAUGUCUCCGGCCUCUUUGUUCUCCUCUGUGGGCUGCUUGCCUCAUCCUCUGCACAGGAGGUCCUGGCUGGAGUUUCUUCCCAGCUCCUUAAUGAUUUGACUCAAGGACUCCUCAGGUCAGACUUUCUUCCCAGCCUGCAGACAAUUGGCCUCCAGAAAUCAUUGAGUAGUGCCUUCGAUGGUGUAUCAGGCCUCCUGGACAUCUUUGGGCCUCCACUCACCAAUGAGAUCGACACUGUUAGGAUACAGGUGAAAAAUCCUCAACUCCUCCAAGUCUCCAUUGAGAGCACCCCUCAAAGAAAGGAGGCCACUGUACGAGUACCAUUCACGUCUGAGUUGAUUGUGCAGCUCCUGACCAUGAAGCCCUUCACAGCUAAUAUCCAGUCAGAUAUAAAAGUCCAGAUUCGUUUGGAGAAGAAUGUAGGUGGCAGAUAUGAACUUGCCUUUGGGAACUGCAGGCUCUUGCCUGAGGCAAUUUGGAUCCAAACUGGAGUCCAACUCGCCCCAGCAGCAAAAUUUGUUGUGGCAAACAUAGAGAGAAACCUGAAAAACAUAGUAGCCCAUGAUCUGGGACAAAAAGUGUGUUCUGUGAUUAAUAAAUGGCUCUACAACCUGGACCAGCAUGUGGUUAAAGAGUUGAUUAAUCUGGUCCUGCUGCAGGAAAAGUACCAAGUCACCAUCUAA